rnacentral:misc_RNA from 1 species
GAAAUGCGAUAAGUAGUGUGAAUUGCAGAAUUCAGUGAAUCAUCGAAUCUUUGAACGCACAUUGCGCCCUUCGGUAUUCCGUAGGGCAUGCCUGUUCGAGCGUCAUUUAAACCUUCAAGCUCUGCUUGGUGUUGGGUGUUUGUCCCGCCCCCGCGCGUGGACUCGCCUCAAAAGUAUUGGCAGCCGGUAGAUUGGCUUCGUGCGCAGCAGAAUACGCGCGUCGAGGCCCCUCUGUCGAUUUCCAGAAGCCCCCUUCUUCAGUUUGACCUCGGAUCAGGUAGGGAUACCCGCUGAACUUAA